GAGCCGGGACCGAGCGAGCCGGCGAGCGACCGAGGUAAAGGUAUCGCGCCUUAGUCAGAGGCCACCAAAGUUGGGUUACAUUUUGUUAGUAGACACCCUUUUAUCAUCUUUUGUACUUGAUGAUUAGUGAUGUAAAGAAAAGAAUGUAAAAUAUAUUUUGAGGUAAAUGGGAUGUAAGAAAGAAAUGAUGAAAUGAAAUGUAAGGAAUUCGAAAAUGAAUAAGAUGAAUGCAAUGUAUAUGAUCAAAAAUGAAUCACAGUACAAGUGAAUGUUUAGUUUCCUUUUUCUUUUACUAAUGGCUAUUGCUUACCCUCGUGUAAGCCGUUUGUGUAUGUUUCCGCUAGUGCUUUUCUCUAUUGAUGAAAAUGUACAUGUGAUGAGCCUUGGGCGGAUAGGGGAAACUCUGUCCGUUCGGCGUCUGUUUGACGUGCUCGGGUU
rnacentral:lncRNA from 1 species